rnacentral:lncRNA from 1 species
AUGUAUCCUCUCUUCUCCCCUAGCUCCUCCUUCUUGAGGACCAACUUUGAGAGGGAAGCAAAGUGGAAGAGGGGAAGAAAUGACCCGUAUGAGCCUCCACUCAUGGUACCCUGUACUGUGAAGAGUCCUUCGGUAUUGAAGCUGAAGAUGUGCACAUCCUUUGACCCAGCAUCAAGGAAACUAAAUGACCAUUCACAGAAAUACACACUGCACAAGUAAUAAAAAUAAUACCCAACCUUUACUGAGUGCCUGCUCCAUGUCUUUCAUAUUAUAGCCACUGGGGAUGCAUGAAUGAGCC